AGUCAACCUGCCCUGGAGACCAGGAUAACCCCGGGAAACUGGGAUUAAUACUGGAUAGGUCAUCUCAUCUGGAAGGAGAGAUGGCUUAAAGGGGUGUGCGAGCUUCUUUCGUAUACUUGCUCCAGGAUGGGACUGCGACUGAUCAGGCUGUUGGCGGGGUAAUGGCCCACCAAACCAGUAACCAGUACGGGCCUUGAGAGAGGGGGCCCGGAGAUGGACACUGAGAGAAGGGUCCAGGUCCUACGGGGCGCAGCAGGCGCGAAACCUUCGCAAUGCGCGAAAGCGUGACGAGGUUGGUCCGAGUGGUUCCCGCUGAGGGAAUCUUUUGUCGGCUGUAAAAAGGCCGGCGAAUAAGGGGAGGGCAAGUCUGGUGUCAGCCGCCGCGGUAAUACCAGCUCCUCGAGUGGUCGGGGCGAUUAUUGGGCCUAAAGCAUCCGUAGCCGGUUCUGUAGGUCCUCUGUUAAAUCCAACGGGCUUAACCGUUGGCCCGCAGAGGAUACCGCAGGACUAGGAGGCGGGAGAGGCAGGCGGUACUCUACGUGUAGGGGUAAAAUCCUUUGAUCCGU
rnacentral:rRNA from 1 species